GGCAGUGUAAAGACUCUCGUUCUUUGUUGUUCGUUCAUCUCAACAAAAAUAUAGUUUGUGAUACUGUUCUGUGUGCAAGAAAAUUCAAUUGUACGAAGAUCCACCUGGUCAAAUGGCCAUUACAGACUCUUUGAAUUCUGACCGUGAAAAUGUAUAUUGGUGUGACGGUUGGAGUCAGAUUGAAAUCAAUCGAUAAUCCUUGCAGUUGCUCGUCACAAAUCCAGAAUUGAUAGAAGCUUGUUAGAAUUAUAUACCGGAAUGAAUAUAACGAAUAAUAUUGUAAAAGAAUAUUAGGUUUUUGAGGCGAAUUCUUUGUUAUGCCCAAACAGCUUUUUUACCCAAAUUAAUUCGCUGCAUUACUCCAAAGCAAAUUACCGAAGUGAAGAAAUACUUUGUCGUGUUAGUCAUAACAAUUGUCGUUCGCUUGUAUUUUAGUGCGUCAUUGCAACGGACUAAUUACACAUAUACACGUUAUUUAAGUUUAUAUCUUAA